rnacentral:lncRNA from 1 species
AUGAAGGGUGAAGCAGGUGAAAUAAUUACAUCCUUGCAGCCAGGACAGAAGGGUGACCCAGGAUUUCCAGGUCUUCCAGGGAUACCUGUGCCUCUCAUGGCCUCCUCCCCUUCCUCAACAGGGCCCACCCGGCUCCGUGGGAAUACCAGGUCCAGUUGGCCCCCCAGGGCCCCCAGGUUUGACGGUAAGUUUCUUUAACCUGUUGCUCAUAAAGCCUUAAAUGGGACAGUUACUACUUGGUUUCGUGUUCUCAGAGGCAGGUCAGUGAAUUGCAGAGAU